GACGAACGCUGGCGGCGUGCUUAACACAUGCAAGUCGAACGAAGUGGCGAACGGGUGCGUAACGCGUAAUCAACCUGCCCUUCAGAGGGGGACAACAGUUGGAAACGACUGCUAAUACCGCAUACUGAAGGCGGGGAUUGCGUCUGAUUAGGUAGUUGGAGGGGUAACGGCCCACCAAGGCGAUGAUCAGUAGCCGGUCUGAGAGGAUGAAGUGCAACAAUGGGACUGAGACACGGCCCAGACUCCUACGGGAGGCAGCAGGGGGGAAUCUUCCGAAAUGGAAGAAAGUCUGACGGAGCAACGCCGCGGGAGUGAUGACGGCAUGCGGGUUGGAAAGCUCUGUUAAUCGGGACGCGGUACCGGAAUAGAAAGCCACGGCUAACUACGUGCCAGCAGCCGCGGUAAUUC
rnacentral:rRNA from 1 species